ACUGAGUUGUCUUUUAAGGCCCAGGGAGC
rnacentral:piRNA from 1 species